CUAAAAUCAGUUACUUUAGAAAAGAUGACCCAAGAAUGAUACAGAGAAGAUUAGCAUGGCCUGUCCACAAGGAUAACAUACCAAUUUGUGAAGCAUUCCAUAUUAAA
rfam:Erinaceus europaeus unplaced genomic scaffold scaffold00553, whole genome shotgun sequence